UGGCUCUCGCAUCGAUGAAGAACGCAGCGAAGCGCGAAAUGUAGUGUGAAUCGCAGAACAUUGUGAAUCAUCGAAUCUUUGAACGCACAUUGCGCCUCUCGUAACAGGGAGGCAUGCCUGUCUGAGUCUCAUUUAACCUCUAAACCCAUUUGGGUUUGUGCAUGGGCGUUCGCCUCUUGGGCGUCGCCUCAAAGUCAUCUGUCUUAUGAGCGGACGAGAUCCUCCGGGACUGACCGUUUGUAGGACCCAAAAUCUCUGAUUUGAGCUCAGAUCAGGUAGGACUACCGCCUGA
rnacentral:misc_RNA from 1 species